rnacentral:rRNA from 1 species
GUGAACCGCCGGAUGGAUCAUUA